AAACAAUAAGCAUAAAAAAAUUGCAUCGCGAUUUCGACCCGCGGAGUGCGUAUUACGCAUUGUUUU
rnacentral:tRNA from 1 species